GAGCCGGUAGCUCAGCCGGUAGAGCAACUGACUUUUAAUCAGUAGGUCCUGGGUUCGAACCCCAGCCGGCUCA
rnacentral:tRNA from 1 species